AAUAUCAGCCAUAUCACCCUGCAGCCCAAGAUCGGUUACUCACUAAAGCUAAGCAGGGCUGAGCCUGGUUAGUACCUGGAUGGGAGACCACUGGGGAACACUAGGUUGCUGUUGGAA
rfam:Danio rerio chromosome 23, GRCz11 reference primary assembly.